CCGAAGGCGAGUGCAACCCCCCCUAUCUCUCUCUCUCUCUCUCGGCGUGCGUGCUCUCGUGCUCUCUUCGUUCUAGUCUGUUUGAGGUAUGUUCUGUGCGCAUUCCCUUGAUCGAUCGGGCCUUUGAGGUGGUUCACUUUUUCUUUUUGAUCGGAAGGUAUUGAGAUACUUCGAAAGGUAUUGAGAUACUUCGGAAAAGAUGGCCAUAACUGGAGGAAGAAGAAAGAUGGAAAGACAGUGAAGGAAGCUCAUGAGAGGCUCAAGGCUGGGAGUGUUGAUGUGCUGCAUUGCUACUAUGCCCAUGGAGAAGAAAAUGAAAAUUUCCAAAGGCGAAGCUAUUGGUUGCUUGAAGAGGAGCGCUUGAACAUUGUUCUUGUCCACUGCUGCGAAGUAAAGGUUAGAAAUUUAUUCUAUUAUUCCUUUGUUUCUUCAUUAUUGAAGAAAUUCACAAUUGAUAAUUGUAUACCGUAUCAGAUGAUUCUUGAGCCAAUAUGUAUUAUACAUAAUGCUGGCUAUUUUAGAAUAACAUCGCUUUCUAACUUUACCACCACUUUUGUUUCAAGGUUUCUUGUGUAUGUAUAACUUCCACGUAUUGGAAUCUUGCUACAAAAUAUAAUCUAAUGUGUUUUGUUGCCCAACUUUUCACAUCCGUGCUAGUUUCUUUUUGGACUAAUGGUCGUUACAAUGAUCAUGUUACUCGUAAGAUUCCCGACUCAGUGGCACUUCUAUGAUCUGGAAAGCUCCUCCAUGGGUUUUAGUACGUUACAUUGUUUUGUUUCUUGUUGGUGCUUAAUGGAUAUUGUUUUGGCCAUGGCUAUUCCCAGAGUACGUAACGUUACAAAUUUUAUUUAUUUAUUUAUUUUUUAAUUUUUUUUCGACAGUAACAAGAUGGUCACUAAUACAUUGUAGGCAUUUUUUGAACUGGAUUGGAAGUGGGAGUCUUCCUUCUUCUAGCUCUUAGAAUCAGUGUGCCAAAGGUUGAUUCUUGGGAUGUAGUUUUGGUGGUAAAACAAAAACCAAAAUUCAUGUUUUGUGUAUUUAAGAAUCUGAUGCAUCUAUCUGCUUUUCUUUUCUUCUGUACUCUUUUUGUUUCCCAUUCAAAUUUUCUGGAGCAAUGCAUGUUUUCUUUGAAGGAUGCAACUUUUUAUUUUACUUGGUUUUGUGAUCUAUAAGUUUUUGAACCAUUAACACCACAACAAAACUAACUAUUUACGGCUUCAACUUUGCGGCACACAUCAAAUGCAUGUUGUAAUUAGUACAUUCUAUGACAUUUUUUUUUGCAAGCCAUUAGUAGUUUUUCAAUAAUGACAUACAUACCAUAUAAGUCGUUAAUUCAUAUAUUUAUGGCAUGUAAAAGCAUGCCGUAAAAAAUCUAUAUUUUCACGACUUAAAAAAUAUGCUGUAAAAUAUUUGCACUUAAAACGACAUACAUUUUAUGUUGUAAAAUAUUAUAACUUUACACGGCAUGCAUUAACAUGUUGUGAAAACUUUUGCAAAAAAAAAAAAAAAUUCGAUUUGAAUUUUUUUUAUGGCAUGCCAAAAUGCAUAUUUUCAUGGCAUACAAAAAUAUGAUAUAAAAUAUUUGCACUUAAAGACGACAUACAAUUCAUGUUGUGAAAUAUUAUAACUUUACACGGCAUACAUUAACAUGUGAAAACUUUUAUUAAAAAAAAUUUCAAGCCAAUUUUUUUUUUCUUUUUUUAUUAUUUAAAAAAGCUAACAAUUUCCAACCAAGCUUCUCACUUUAGAUUUUCCUAAUUGAGGACAACGUAAAAAAUAAUUUAUACAUUAUUUUAUAAUUUAGGGUCUCUUUUAAGGGAGAAUUGCACCCAGUGGGAUUUUGGGAAAAAAAUUACAUGUUCAUGAAAAAGUUUGUAAUUUUAAUGAUUAAUAUUUAUAUGGCUUCUCACUAAUUUGUAAUUAUUAUUUUUUUAAAAUUACCUUGAUUUGAUAUUUUCCCUUAAUUUAAUAAUUUAUUUAUUUUUUACUUUUUAGAUGUGCCUAAUUUGAAUACAACUAAAAAGUAAGGUAUUUGUGAAAAAAAUAUAAUAUAUAUGAAAUGUAUUAAAUUUUAUAUUUUUUUGAAUUGAGUGAUUUUUUUAAAAAAUUAAAAAAUAUUUUUCUUUUAAAUAUAUGUAAAUUAUUUGAAUUUAAAAAGUUAAAAAAAUUAUUUAAAAUAUUUAAAAACUUACAAUAACUAUAAAAAAAAAAAAGACUCAAAAAAAUUAUUUUAGCCCUGUUCACCACUCACACAAACUCCUCUCAUUCUAUCUGUACAUGUUUUUGCCCCAAACCCUCUCUCUCUCUCUCUCUCUCUCUCUCUGCGUGCGAGCUUUCGAGCUCUUUUCUAGCAUUGCCUUGAUUGAUCGCGCGACUUCGCAUGACCUCCCAAUGUAUGUCAUUCACUUUCUCUCCCAAUUGAUAAAUUUUUCUCUGGCUCUAUCAUAUUUUCCCAAAAGCUUCGAAUUCAUCAUUUUAUUUGAAGUUAGGGUUUGGUGAGAGCCAUGAAAACGUAGACUACAAGCCAAAUGCAUUCUCAAUCAAUUGAUCUCAAACCCUAACUGAUCUCUACAAGCUCCUUUGUAUCGAACGAUUCAAUCACUAGACAAGUCAAUUUCAAUGCUUCAGAUGGAGCUGGCUGCUACUCGAAGUUCUCAAGAGAUGAGGAGAUCUGAUGAGUUCACUCACAUCUCGAAUUGACUCAUGAGGGCUUGGCAAGGAAGAAGGCUUUCAUAGUUAUUGGAAUUAAUACUGCUUUUAGUAGUAGGAAGAGGCAUGAUUUGGUUAGACAAACUUGGAUGCCUCAAGGAGAGAGACUUCUUCAAUUGGAACAAGAGAAGGGAAUUAUCAUCUGGUUCAUGAUCGGCCAUAGGGUAAUUUACUUUUAUGUGGUGUGAUGUUCUUUGAUGAGACUAGAAAAAGACAAACUAAAUUACCAUGAAGAUGUUUGUUUGUAUAUCUAAGAACUGCAGAACUAUUUGGCCAAUGAAUCAAUUGGUCAGGUGAACUAAAUCUUAAUUGAUCUGCAUUCCACAUUGGUGUUGGUGGACAAGUACAAGAAGCACUCUCCCGUGGAUUUUGAUGUCAAAUUUAUGUAAAGCUGCACUAGGAAGGAAACUUUGAUCGCUGCUCCAUAUGGUUGAAAUCACGGUUGGUUUGAAUAAGUGCAACAUCUAACAGCAUACUAGAUCGAGCUAUUGAUUCAAAAGAUUCUCAGCAUAAGGACUUCCUCAGGCUGGUGAGGAUGCACAGAGCUUGAGCAUGUUGAAGGGUAUCAUGAAUUGCCUGCAAAAACCAAAAUUUUCUUCUCCACUACUGUUGCAAAAUGGGAUGCUGAUUUCUGUCAAAGUGGAUGAUGAUGUCCAUGUCAAUUUCGGUUGUUGAGUUUGCCGUGGCUUUGCAGGAAGCUGGGUGCUUUUCUGUUGUUCUGGAAUGUGUGCUUUCGAAUCCUUCCAAUUGACACAAAUGAAGGAGCUCGAAGUACAAUCCAGUGCUACAGAUGAGGAGAUCUUCACACAGGUUCUAGGGCUUGAUCAACCUGGUCGUGUUCGAACAUAUGGAUUGGGUCCUUCUCCGACAAAUGUCUUUGGAGGUGGAUUUAGGCAGCCACAAGAGCAGGCUCAUCUCAUUGAGACGCAAGUCCAAGAGCAACUUAACCAACAUAAAGUACAAAUGGAGAUGCAAGUGAAGGAGUGAUGGAUGCUAUGUUUAGUCAGAUGCAAGGUUCAAAUAUCAGAGGAAGAAGAAGAAGAAGAAGAAGAAGAAGAAGAAGAUAGGACAAACUCAAUGUCGGAGGGACUCUUUUUCGUAGAAACAUUUGAAUGAAUCUUUGUUAGGGUACUAGUCUAUCUCUGAUCUUCCACGAUGAUGGCGAAAAUCGGGCAGUGGUGACAUCACUGAUGCAUUUUGCACUAAUAGAUGGGAAUGUAAUUUUUAAUGACACAAUUUUGUUCUAGAAUUGGGCCCUCUUGCAGAUUUUUGAAAAGCAAAGUUCUAGGCUUGUUUCUUAUUUUUGAUUGCACAUUUCUAAAGCAAGGAUUGAAUACACUAUAUAUUUUUAUUUUGAUGAAGUACAUAAUAAAAACACCCAUCAAUUGUAAACAAA